rnacentral:rRNA from 1 species
CCCUCUGGGUUGUAAACCGCUUGUCAAGGGAGGGGAAACGCGUGGAGUUAACAGCUCCACGUUUGACUGCUCCCUAAAGGAAGCCCGGCAAACAUGUGC